AUUACUUCGUUUCUCAAUUCACAGUAUACAACUCAAGUUAGAAAUAGGUACCCCGCCAAGGGAUAAGCGUUAGGGGUGGAAAGUUUGGGCCCCACUGUGAGCUGACACAAAUGCUCCCUGCUGAGGUUUGCACUUACUGGGCGUGACCAGACCGUGGUUAGAAUAAGCAGCCAAGAGUCUGCAUCUGUGGAAUACCUAGGGGCUGGCAGGCUGAGAGCCCAGCAAGGGAGCAGAGUCAGCAUUUCCAAGUUCUGUCCCAGAGCAACACCAUCCUCAGAACUACUUUCAGGUCUCAGAAACAGGAAGGACCAUUGACUUAUUUGGUUGGUCAGUCUCUAGAAGGAGAUUGUAAGUCCCUGGACAGCAGAGAAAGAGGUUAAAAUUUCUGUCCCUCCUGUCAGUAGAGUAAAGUGGCAAUUUUGUAAAUGUUUGAUUUAACAACAAAAGAAAACAACCUGUUCACAGGCAUUUUAAUUCAACCCUGAGUCACAGAGUAAACACACUGCAAGAAUAUAUAUACAGUUUGCAUCAAAUAAGCUGUAUCAGCAUUGUGGUUUGGAAGACCUACUCCUGCCAGAUGGAAGUCAGCCAUGAAUAUGAAGGUAUGGGUUUCCAGGAAACAGGGCAAAGACUACACAGAUGCUAGCAUCCUGCUGCUAACGAGGGCAUGGAGCAAGAUUGAAGAUUAAUCUGAGAGGCAAUGAAGAGAAAUACACACAGUAAAAAAGAGUUGCAUGCCAAGGAUUUCAACAUUGAACUGACAUGUAUACUAGGAGGACACUGCCCUUCCAGCCAGAAAAAUUCUCCAAGCAAUGUCCUUCCCAGCUGAACACAUGAUAGUCAGCCCCAGAUCAGGGUCUACACAGUGACUUGGGCCUCAGUUCCUGGAUUCUCUGUAUCUCCUCAAACUA